GUGAGGAAUAUUGCGCAAUGGAGGCAACUCUGACGCAGCCAUGCCGCGUGCAGGAAGAAGGCGCUACGCGUUGUAAACUGCUUUUAACCGGGAAGAAACCCCAGGACGUGUCCUGGGUUGACGGUACCGGAGGAAUAAGCACCGGCUAACUUCGUGCCAGCAGCCGCGGUAAUACGAAGGGUGCAAGCGUUAUCCGGAUUCAUUGGGUUUAAAGGGUGCGUAGGCGGAGCGUUAAGUCAGUGGUGAAAUCCUGCAGCUUAACUGCAGACUUGCCAUUGAUACUGGCGCUCUUGAGUGCGCUUGAAGUGGGCGGAAUGUGCCGUGUAGCGGUGAAAUGCUUAGAUAUGGCACAGAACACCAAUUGCGAAGGCAGCUCACUAAGGCGAUACUGACGCUGAGGCACGAAAGCGUGGGGAUCGAACAGGAUUAGAAACCCGAGUAGUCC
rnacentral:rRNA from 1 species